rnacentral:rRNA from 1 species
UACGACGUACGAGGUUAGGUACGUACUACUGGCUACAGAACGAACGCUGGCGGCAGGCCUAAAACAUGCAAGUUGAACGGCUGUAGCAAUACAGCAGUAGCGCACGGGUGAGUAAUAUAUGGGAACAUGUCUUUUGGUGGGGAAUAUUCUUUGGAAACGAAGAGCAAUACCGCAUAAGCCCUACGGGGGAAAGAUUUAUCGCCGAUUGAGUGGCCCAUAUUGGAUUAGCUAGUUGGUUGGGUAACGGCUGACCAAGGCGACGAUCCAUAGCUGAUCUGAGAGGAUGAUCAGCCACACUGGGACUGAGACACGGCCCAGACUCCUACGGGAGGCAGCAGUUAGGAAUAUUGGACAAUGGGGGCAACCCUGAAUCCAGCCAUGCCGCGUGAGUGUUAAGGCCUUCGGGUUGUAAAGCUCUUUUGUAUGGGAAAAUGAUGAUGGUACCAUAAGAAUAAGCACCGGCUAACUUCGUGCCAGCCGCCGC